CGUCACUUUCGUCCUCUCGCACGGGAGCCAAUAAUCUCAGAUUCUCACCCAACACAGGUCUCUACUCAAGCUAUGUGUCUAGAAAACAACUCCGUCGUUGCCUUUUCACUUCCUCUGCUAGAUCAUUUCCUAAACUUCAAGUUCAGUCACUCCCACCAAAUCAACCCAAAGUGAUCCCAACCCUUAGUCUACUUCCCAGACCCAAAAGACC
rnacentral:misc_RNA from 1 species